rnacentral:rRNA from 1 species
UACGUAGGCAGCAAGCGUUGUUCGGAGUUACUGGGCGUAAAGGGUGUGUAGGCGGUUGGAUAAGUGUGGUGUGAAAUCUCCCGGCUCAACUGGGAGGGUGCGCUACAAACUGUCUGACUAGAGUGUGGGAUGGGUAAGUGGAAUUCCUGGUGUAGCGGUGGAAUGCGCAGAUAUCAGGAAGAACACCCGUGGCGAAGGCGGCUCUCUGGAACGCAACUGACGCUGAGACGCGAAAGCGUGGGGAGCGAACAGG